UACGUAGGGGGCUAGCGUUGUCCGGAUUUAUUGGGCGUAAAGAGCGUGUAGGCGGCCAAGUAGGUCCGGUGUGAAAACUCGAGGCUUAACCUCGAGAUGUCAUCGGAAACCAUUUGGCUAGAGUCCGGAAGAGGAAAGUGGAAUUCCUGGUGUAGCGGUGAAAUGCGCAGAUAUCAGGAGGAACACCGGUGGCGAAGGCGGCCUGCUGGGCAGUGGCUGACACUGAGGCGCGACAGCGUGGGGAGCAAACAGG
rnacentral:rRNA from 1 species